AAAAAAAAAGUGCUUAGUUUCGUUGGAAAAACCAACGCACAUCAUAUUGACUUUCUCUCGCCCUACUUCUAAAGUAAAGAUAGAUAGAAAGGGUUGGAGAGAAUGACUUUCUGAAAUUCUCUCCUUUCUAAAGCUGCGCAAGGUGGCCCCCCCAGAACAAAACCCCACCCUUUCCCCCUUUAAUGAAAGACCCUCGCCCCGCUUCCUAUUCAUUUGUGGGUCGGGACCCGAGGGCCUUUUUUUUUCUCAACAGGUGAUUU
rnacentral:misc_RNA from 1 species